GGUUAAGCGACUAAGCGUACACGGUGGAUGCCCUGGCAGUCAGAGGCGAUGAAGGGCGUGCUAAUCUGCGAUAAGCGCCGGUAAGGUGAUAUGAACCGUUAUAACCGGCGAUACCCGAAUGGGGAAACCCAGUGUGAUUCGUCACACUAUCAUUAACUGAAUCCAUAGGUUAAUGAGGCGAACCGGGGGAACUGAAACAUCUAAGUACCCCGAGGAAAAGAAAUCAACCGAGAUUCCCCCAGUAGCG
rnacentral:rRNA from 1 species